UUGGCAUGGGGGGAACCCUGAUCAGCCUGCCGCGUGUGUGAAGAAGGCCUUUUGGUUGUAAAGCACUUUAAGCGAGGAGGAGGCUACUCUAGUUAAUACCUAGGGAUAGUGGACGUUACUCGCAGAAUAAGCACCGGCUAACUCUGUGCCAGCAGCCGCGGUAAUACAGAGGGUGCGAGCGUUAAUCGGAUUUACUGGGCGUAAAGCGUGCGUAGGUGGCCAAUUAAGUCAAAUGUGAAAUCCCCGAGCUUAACUUGGGAAUUGCAUUCGAUACUGGUUGGCUAGAGUAUGGGAGAGGAUGGUAGAAUUCCAGGUGUAGCGGUGAAAUGCGUAGAGAUCUGGAGGAAUACCGAUGGCGAAGGCAGCCAUCUGGCCUAAUACUGACACUGAGGUACGAAAGCAUGGGGAG
rnacentral:rRNA from 1 species